ACAGUGAAAUGCUGAAUACAACAGGUGUAGUAGACCUUACAGUGAAAUGCUGAAUACAACAGGUGUAGUAGACCUUACAGUGAAAUGCUGAAUACAACAGGUGUAGGUAGACCUUACAGUGAAAUGCUGAAUACAACAGGUGUAGUAGACCUUACAGUGAAAUGCUGAAUACAACAGGUGUAGGUAGACCUUACAGUGAAAUGCUGAAUACAACAGGUGUAGUAGACCUUACAGUGAAAUGCUGAAUACAACAGGUGUAGUAGACCUUACAGUGAAAUGCUGAAUACAACAGGUGUAGGUAGACCUUACAGUGAAAUGCUGAAUACAACAGGUGUAGUAGACCUUACAGUGAAAUGCUGAAUACAACAGGUGUAGUAGACCUUACAGUGAAAUGCUGAAUACAACAGGUGUAGUAGACCUUACAGUGAAAUGCUGAAUACAACAGGUGUAGGUAGACCUUACAGUGAAAUGCUGAAUACAACAGGUGUAGGUAGACCUUACAGUGAAAUGCUGAAUACAACAGGUGUAGUAGACCUUACAGUGAAAUGCUGAAUACAACAGGUGUAGUAGACCUUACAGUGAAAUGCUGAAUACAACAGGUGUAGUAGACCUUACAGUGAAAUGCUGAAUACAACAGGUGUAGUAGACCUUACAGUGAAAUGCUGAAUACAACAGGUGUAGUAGACCUUACAGUGAAAUGCUGAAUACAACAGGUGUAGUAGACCUUACAGUGAAAUGCUGAAUACAACAGGUGUAGUAGACCUCACAGUGAAAUGCUGAAUACAACAGAUGUAGUAGACCUCACAGUGAAAUGCUGAAUACAACAGGUGUAGUAGACCUUACUGUGAAAUGCUGAAUACAACAGGUGUAGUAGACCUUACAGUGAAAUGCUGAAUACAACAGGUGUAGUAGACCUUACAGUGAAAUGCUGAAUACAACAGGUGUAGUAGACCUUAUAGUGAAAUGCUGAAUACAACAGGUGUAGUAGACCUUAUAGUGAAAUGCUGAAUACAACAGGUGUAGUAGACCUUACAGUGAAAUGCUGAAUACAACAGGUGUAGUAGACCUUACAGUGAAAUGCUGAAUACAACAGGUGUAGGUAGACCUUAUAGUGAAAUGCUGAAUACAACAGGUG